AAUCCCGGAAGCGCAGCGGCUGUGACUGUGCACUCUCCAGGGGUUUUGUUACCUAGGUCUCUCAAGACUUAAAGGGGUGGAAGUCAACUGGAAAUGAUACUAGUACUAAAGCCACUGGAAGCAUCCAGAUGGAGCUCUUAUGUCCAUUCGAAUAUCCUCUAAUUGGUUGUGAACCAGCAUCAACUUCCAGACACGUGAGUGAACAUGUCAUCAGGUUAUUCCUGCCCCAGAUUUGGAGACUCCUCACUGAAGACCGGAACACUGUGGAGCAGCACACAGCCAUCUCUGCUAUGCUUUGUCUGAAUUCCUGAUGUACACAUCUCUGAAGAUAGUUGGUUGAUCAAAAAGCCUUCAAUGGAAUAGAUUAAUGGCCCAUUCUUUCUUGUCACAAGAAUACAGUUGUGUAAAUCAUCACAGUUAUUUAGCUGGCACUUUGUGUCCUGUGGACACUGAGGUGGAAGAAAGUCUCAGGGUUCGAGCAGAACAAUGAUCUUUAG